rnacentral:rRNA from 1 species
CCUACGGGAGGCAGCAGUGGGGAAUAUUGCGCAAUGGGCGAAAGCCUGACGCAGCGACGCCGCGUGAGGGAUGAAGGUCUUCGGAUCGUAAACCUCUGUCAGCAGGGAAGAACGGUCACUGUGCUAAUCAGCAGUGAAUUGACGGUACCUGCAAAGGACGCACCGGCUAACUCCGUGCCAGCAGCCGCGGUAAUACGGAGGGUGCGAGCGGUAAUCGGAAUUACUGGGCGUAAAGCGCUCGUAGGCGGUAUGUCAAGUCAAGGGUGAAAUCCCCGCGCUCAACGUGGGAACUGCCUUUGAAACUGGCAGACUGGAGUGGGUGAGAGGAUAGUGGAAUUCCAGGUGUAGGGGUGAAAUCCGUAGAUAUCGGGAGGAACAUCAGUGGCGAAGGCGACUAUCUGGCACAUAACUGACGCUGAGGAGCGAAAGCGUGGGUAGCAAACAGGAUUAGAUACCCUUGUAGUC